AGGAGACAUACUACAAGGGAAAGAUGAAUCUGUAGAAACAUUCUUCACCAGACUACAAAUGGCUUGGGAGGCAUUGGGUUACACUGAUGUUGUAACCACUUCCACCAGACUGCUUAUUAACUGUUUCAUGGAUGGUAUCCACAUACCCAUAAGGACUGGUCUCCAAAAUGCUAGACCUGAGUGGAGAAGUUUAACCUAUGGUGAUCUGGUGAAGGUGGCUAGGGGAGUGGAAGCUAAUCUAAAUACUAGAAAGAGGAGCACACCUCUAAUGACUGUAACUGUCCCUAGAGCUGGUGGGGACAGAAGGCAGGUAGACUGCUGGAAUUGUGGCAGGAAAGGACACAUUAAACGUAACUGCAAGUGUCCUCCUAAAAAUAGAAAACCCCAAGAUUCUAAUGAUAACCUCCCAUGACAGCCAACCACCACCACCACCUCCCCCCACCCCAAUAGGAAAUUGGCAAACCAGUGUCCCUACAUAUCAUCAAUAUCCCUGACUCUGCAGGACCCUCACCCAUUAUCAAUGUUACACUGCCUGGGGACCGAAUAAUCCCUUUCCUGUUGGACAUUGGCGCUGCUAAAUCAAUGUUACAGGAAAAAUAUGUGUUCCCGUAUGAGAAAUCUAAUGAUGUAUUAUCAUGUGUAGGGGUGGAUGGUAUCGAAUAUGACAUUCCCCUUACCCACAAGCUGAAAUUGAAGCUACACAACUCUACUGCCCUUGUAACAAGGCUACUUGUCAGCCCUCAUGCCCCUGCUAAUCUACUAGGCAGUGAUAUACUGUCUGCUCUUAGUGCAAAUAUCCAGUAUAGCCCCAGUGGAAAAGUAACAUUGUCUGUGCCUUUAGAGGACAAACAAAUGAUAUCUCUUUCAAAUGUUCUG